rnacentral:rRNA from 1 species
ACUACGGGAGGCAGCAGUGAGGAAUAUUGGUCAAUGGGCGCGAGCCUGCACCAGCCAAGUAGCGUGAAGGAUGACUGCCCUACAGGUUGUAAACUUCUUUUAUAAAGGAAUAAAGUGAGGCACGUGUGCCUUUUUGUAUGUACUUUAUGCAUAAGGAUCGGCUAACUCCGUUCCAGCAGCCGCGGUAAUACGGAGGAUCCGAGCGUUAUCCGGAUUUAUUGUGUUUAAAGGGAGCGUAGAUGGGUUGUUAAGUCAGUUGUGAAAGUUUGCGGCUCAACCGUAAAAUUGCAAUUGAUACUGGCAGCCUUGAGGACAGUUGAGGUAGGCGGAAUUCGUGGUGUAGCGGUGAAAUGCUUAGAUAUCACGAAGAACUCCGAUUGCGAAGGCAGCUUACUAAACUGCCACUGACAUUGAUGCUCGAAAGUGUGGGUAUCAAACAGGAUUAGAUACCCUUGUAGUC